rnacentral:miRNA from 1 species
UAUUGCUUGAGAAUACACGUAAU